rnacentral:rRNA from 1 species
AUUGAACGCUGGCGGCAGGCCUAACACAUGCAAGUCGAGCGGAUGAAGGGAGCUUGUUCCUGGAUUCAGCGGCGGACGGGUGCGUAAUGCCUAGGAAUCUGCCUGGUAGUGGGGGAUAACGUCCGGCAACGGGCGCUAAUACCGCAUACGUCCUGAGGGAGAAAGUGGGGGAUCUUCGGACCUCCCGCUAUCAGAUGAGCCUAGGUCGGAUUAGCUAGUUGGUGGGGUAAAGGCCUACCAAGGCGACGAUCCGUAACUGGUCUGAGAGGAUGAUCAGUCACACUGGAACUGAGACACGGUCCAGACUCCUACGGGAGGCAGCAGUGGGGAAUAUUGGACAAUGGGCGAAAGCCUGAUCCAGCCAUGCCGCGUGUGUGAAGAAGGUCUUCGGAUUGUAAAGCACUUUAAGUUGGGAGGAAGGGCAGUAAGUUAAUACCUUGCUGUUUUGACGUUACCAACAGAAUAAGCACCGGCUAACUUCGUG